UACGUAGGUGGCGAGCGUUAUCCGAAAUGAUUGGGCGUAAAGGGUGCGUAGGCGGCCUGCUAAGUCUGGAGUGAAAGGUACCGGCUCAACCGGUAUAGGCUCUGGAAACUGGCGGGCUAGAGAGCAGGAGAGGGCGGUGGAACUCCAUGUGUAGCGGUAAAAUGCGUAGAUAUAUGGAAGAACACCAGUGGCGAAGGCGGCCGCCUGGCCUGUUACUGACGCUGAGGCUCGAAAGUGCGGGUAUCAAACAGG
rnacentral:rRNA from 1 species